CUAGAGUGUGGCAUAUGUUGGGAUUCGGAGGGAGCCUCUCUGUACCCAUUUCACAGAUUCAGAGGUCCGAGCGGUGAUGGGUCCAACUCUAUGGAAGGGAGCCAGAGCAGAGCUGGAAAUCCAUCCUGGGUCCAUGGAAGAGCAUCCCUGCCUUAACGGCUUUACCGUUGAAAAGUUGGAAUGAGAUUCUCCAUGCAUUGUCAGAGCAUUUACAAGUCCACGUCCACCAGAGGCUUUGCUGAGGGUUGCUCCUGGCUGGGUCUCCCUCAUCUGACAGCGUCGGAGGCCAGGUGAACGGAAGGAGCCCAUCGAGUCUGGAGAUGCGAGGAGUUGACAGCCUAGACGCGGCCCAUUGCAUCUCUGCCCCUGUGGCUCUGCGGAGGGGGCACGGCAGGCUGCCACGUUGGACGGCUGGUGGUACAUGUGACCUGAGACAAGUGCGGAGAGCGUAGCUUCUCACUCAGCUGGCACACAUCGGAGCAGUCCGCCACCCUCUCUCAGAAGUUGACAUUUAGCAUCCUUUUCGGUGCUGCUUUUUCCAGACAGGCUGCUUUGCCCUGGGGAUAGCCAGAAAGAGAGGGGACUCCCUCCUGAUUUCUAGGAGCCACGGGGGAACGCUUAGCCUCCAUUCUGCACUGGGUCCUUUGGUAGGUGGUUAUUGUGCCAGGGACAAAUAACCUGGUUAUGUCACUUACCCCUCGCCCUCCGGGUGGCCGAUGUGCUCCACGAUUUACUAAGCUGAGGCUUGCAGAUUCUUCUAUGUGACGUCCCAAGUCUCAGCAGCAGAGUUGGGUUCUCACUUCCUUCUGGCUCAUUCCAAGCCAUGCUUUUCCCACGUGGCUGCGGGGGCCUCACACCAAGGAGACAGCUGGGGCAGAUGGGGCCCAUUUUAGAAGUUGUAUGAAAAAGUAUUGUAAGCAAAUUGCCAUUAAUUUUAUUUUUUUAAGAUUUAUUUAUUUAUUUAUUUAUUUAUUUAUUUAUUUAUUUAUUUAUUCAUGAUAGUC